UACAAAUUGGUUCAAAUUAGCUGGAAAUUUUGACUUCCCAUAGUUCCCAUGUUCAAAAAAGGGGGCGUAACCGUUAAAUUAGAAAAAAGUGGAUUUUGUGGCAUUAGUCAGAAGAAUAUAUUUAAAAAAAAAAUCGGUCUGUUCAUGUAUGUAAUAUCAUUUUUGUUCAAAUAAAAAGUCACUACGUAUCACUCCCCUUUUUAACAUUCAUUGCGUUCUUAUGGCAACGCGCGAAUUCAGAGCUGUGCGAAUGCGAUAAUUCCUUUCCCGCGUUCACAGCUGCUGGCAACCAGCAGACAGACACCAGGCUCUAGCGCGCAUGCGUAUUGCAUGUUGCUUUGCUUGCAGUGUAGCGAGCGCCGCGAGCGGAGGAGCGGACGAGUGCGAAUACUGCGAAUGCGAACGGUGCACUGCAAUGGCGCUGCUGCUCUGGUGCUCUGACUCUCCUUACUGCAGUCUGCAGCCGGCGUUGAGCGUUCUGGGAGGCGGCCUGCGGCCACUUGGCGGCCACCGAGGCCCACGGCUGACGGCCACACCAACUGAUGGCUGAAUUUCCGCUCUGAUUGUGACGAGCGGACGAAUGGACUGCGAUAUGGACUGCGGCCGUGAUUGAGCGAGCUGGGAGGCGGCCUGCGGCCAUCAGGCGGCCAUCGUGGACCGCGGCCGACCCGCCACUGAUUGCGAGGAAGCACAGAUAGAGUGCAGACGAGACCUGCGGCCUCGGAGGCGCCCUGCGGCCAUCAGGCGGCCAUCGAAGACCCCGGAAACUCCAACAGAUGGCCGAAUUUCAGCACUGAAGUUUCGUAGGAAGGAGUGGAGUGUCAAGGUCAAGUCUACGCCCGCACUGGUGCCUCCUUCCACUUUUCACACUGAGCAGCGAUGCUGAGAGGAAGCUGCUGAAAUCCAAAAUCCAAAAGCGGAGAAAGGAGAACAAGCAGCGCAGCCAUAUUAUGGAGAAAAUCAUCAGGAGGAUCAAAAUAUUGCCGCGGUGUUUUCCCAAGUAACUAAUGAUCUAAUCAAACCUCACAGUUCAUUUAAACUACUUUCUAAAAGUAGCUUUCGUGCAACGCCGAAAAGGAUUUUUCAAAUAUCAGCGGUAUUUCGUUGAGCAAAAAUAGAUUUUGGCCGCUGUAACAUGCGAGUAAUCCAGUCGGAAUAUAUUUAUUUAUAGGGUUACGUUGCCUCUGCUUUAAUUAAUAAUUGAUGCAGCGAUCUGCACCAGGGGAAAAUGGUAAGUUUGGAAUCGCCCUCUGCACGCACUGCGUGCUCAGAAUUUGGCGUCUGCUGACGCUCGUGAUAACUUAAAUUGAAACGACGUCUAAGCGCGAAAUAUAAAUUUGGUUCCAUUCAGAGAAAUGGUGGGUUUUUUGCGCAAUGCUAAAUUGGCGAACCCUGGAGGUUUGACGCACAAAUUUGUUAAGAAAGUUUGCAUAUUUUUCAGGCUGUUUUCCAAUGGAACGGAAGAUUUCUUCGAUUUCUAGUAGGAAACUGAGGUUCGCAAAAGAUUCAUUUUAAAUAUUUUCUCACGAAAAAUACCCAUUUUUUAUUUUUGACGCUUUGAAGCCGGCGGCUUCCCAUAGUGA